rnacentral:rRNA from 1 species
GACGAACGCUGGCGGCGUGCUUAACACAUGCAAGUCGAACGGAAAGGCCCUGCUUUUGUGGGGUGCUCGAGUGGCGAACGGGUGAGUAACACGUGAGUAACCUGCCCUGGACUUUGGGAUAACUUCAGGAAACUGGGGCUAAUACCGGAUAGGAGCGCCUGCUGCAUGGUGGGGGGUGGAAAUUUUCGGCGGUUGGGGAUGGACCCGCGGCUUAUCAGCUUGUUGGUGGGGUAGUGGCUUACCAAGGCUUUGACGGGUAGCCGGCCUGAGAGGGUGACCGGCCACAUUGGGACUGAGAUACGGCCCAGACUCCUACGGGAGGCAGCAGUGGGGAAUAUUGCACAAUGGGCGGAAGCCUGAUGCAGCAACGCCGCGUGCGGGAUGACGGCCUUCGGGUUGUAAACCGCUUUCGCCUGUGACGAAGCGUGAGUGACGGUAAUGGGUAAAGAAGCACCGGCUAACUACGUG